CACAGCCUAGCCUGAUGGAUUCACAGUGCUGAUCAAACAGCUGUCCACAUCAGUUGUAUGAAAGUCCAAUUUUGCAUUUAUUGUCUAUCCAGCAGAAGCCAGAAUUCAUGUAUUGCAGGCAGAACCCCAAGCAGCCAGCUAAUGAGCAGAUGAAUGGAAAAAGAGGAGAUGCACAGAAGGAACUUUGAAACUUAUUUUACUAUAUAUACAAAGAGCACCUUUCAUCUGAAGACAUGAAGCAACUCUGAAACUGAGGCCCAAAGUUCUUCACAAAAGUAGGUGUUACCCUCACUUUAUAGAUGUGGAAAAUGAGCCACAGUCAGAAGUUGCUUAACCAAGGUCACACUGUGAGUCGUUGAAAAGCAAAGCCAAGGAUAGAAACAAGAAGGCCCUCUCAGUGAUUGGAUCCUAUCACUAGACCUCACUCACAGAAAUGCUAAUAACUAACUGGUGGCUCAAGAACACGGAAGUGGAUUCCUCCAUUGUGUAAGAUAAGUCUAAGAAGCUUCACACUUUAACUUUUGCCGGGGUUGUGAUAAUGUCACCACUGAAUUGUACAAUCUUGGUCUAUUAUUUAUCAGACCAGUAUUCUUCUUAGUGAAAGAUAGGACUAGUCGCAAACAUUCCACAUGGAAGAAAAUAUUCAUUUGUAGUACAAUGAACUUCUGUGAACUUAGGAGACAGAGUGCUUUAGUCUCACAGCAGAAGUCUGAGACAGCUAUGCUGGGAGUUCAUAUUGUAUUUAAUUCCAGUUGGCUAAAUAUCAGUGUCUGUAUUUCAGAAAAAGCUUUAUAAAAAGUUUUAUACUUUUUAAAACUUUCAGUACAGUUUAAAUCAGGUUUUUUAUUUCUCUGGACUACAAAAGAACCUUUUUAUAAUAUUGCCUUCAACUAGUAUUCCUUAAUCCUUACCUUUGAGGAGCAAAAGUCUGACUUUCUGGAUAGACUCCAGUCCACUGAAAAACUACUUUUCAUUACUAAAGUAGACAAUUGUCCAAUAAAACAAGGCAAAGAAAUAUAUAUCUUGCAAAUAGCUCCAAAUUCAGUAGUCAUGACUUAUUCAACCUCAAUAAAAUGCUUUGUACAAAUCAGCAAAUAAAAGCUUCCUUUACUGGCUUGCACAAAGUGAUUUGUAUUGGAACAUAGUUUUAUAAUGUGGUAUCAAGCCUGGAAAUGUAUUGAAUCAAAGCUUUGUAAUCUGUUCAUGAAUGAAUAAGACUGUAUAACAGGAAAAACUUUUCUAAAUACAAUAACAGAGUUUUAGAAAAUGUCACCUACUAAAUUAUACAACCAUCUGAAUAAGCCCAUUGAAUUCAGAAAUUUGGAAACUGGCAUUUGUAUGUAUGCAGCUCUUAACAAUUUGCACAUUUCAUUUUAUGCAAGAGGUUCCCAGAGUGCUUUACAAAUAUGAAUGAAGCCUCACAAAGAGCCUUGUGAGGUUGUUAAGCGUUGUUAUACUCUUUUAAAUAUAUGUAAACUGAGGCACAGAGAGGCUGAGUGAUAUGCUGAAGGCCACACAGCAAAUUCUAGAAAACUCUUCAACUCAUCUAUUCAGUGAUCUCCAAUCCAUCUCCUCAUUUAUCCCUCCCUGAGUACCAUUGACUCUACUCCACUCUCUAGAAACUCAGCUCCCUCUCCAAUUUGGACUCUGAGGUCCACUCCCUUCUGCACACCUCACUUUCUCCCUUAGUUCCUGGCAUAUCAUUUUCUACCUUAUCCCUAAACCAGACUCCAACUUCUGUCCCCUGACCUUAUAGCUGAACAAAGGAUAACAUAUAUAUUUAUUUUAUACAGGCCUAGGAAGCAAUACAUUAGAGUAUCUUUAAAAAUUAUUUAUGCUAUAAUUUGUUAUGAAGAAAUAUUGAGACUUUUUAAAAAACCAAGUAGAGUGAUGGUACAGAAAAUUAUUUUAUGCAAAAGAUUAAGUUUAAGUGAACACUAUAUGCUUUGCAUGUUGCAGCAUUUUUUAAUCUAGCACUUUCUGUCAGUUAUGUUGUCUUUAGAAAUAAACACACACACACACUACACUUUUACCAAGCCCUAGACAUGUAUUACUUCUUCCAUGGUAUUUUUUCAUUAAAUACCCCUACUAGUAAGCUGGCUUCUUAUCCUCAAUUAAAAACACAUGCCUUUACACAGCUCUACACAAUAUCAGUAUAUUAAUAUUAACCUAAAUACAAAGACAUAUGUCUGAUAAGAGCCUGAGAAUUUCUUUGGAGCACUACAAGUAGCAUUUGAGUAUCUAGUCUUAUUUUUUUCUACCAUGCUUCAAUGUUCCUAUGUAUUUUUAAUCACAAUAAGUGAUUUCAUUUUAAAUAUAAUAUUAUUUUAAAACAGAUUUCUAAAAUAUGAACUUGAACAGGAGGAAGCCAAGAAAUAUUUUUAGCUCUUACAUUAGCAUUGCAGUUUUUUGCUAUCACACUGAGCUCCCAGAAAUACUAUAGUUAAUUUUCUAACUGUGAUCCAUCCACGCACAUCAGUCCUCAGCAAACAAAGGUUUUUUCAACAUUGUUCCUCUGCUUCAUGCUGAAGAGUUUAGCUGGUAUCUUGCUAUACCUGGCAGAAAUAAGUUAGUGAGGCAAAAUCAUUCAUUACCUUGUUAAAUUUACCACCAGGGUUAAAUCUGCUAUAAUAGCAGUUCUAAAAUGUUAGCAACCCAACGCCCCCCAUUUUGAUUUAAAAAUUUUUCACAGACUCCGAAACCUCCUGCUCAGCCCCAAGCCCUGCCCCCAUUCCACCCCUUCCACCAAGGCCCCACCUCCAGCCCAGCUCUUCCCGUCCUCACUCCACAACUGCCCCUCUUCCCCGCCUCUUUCCGCCGCCUCCCCCAAGUGCGUCCCAUCCCCACUCCUCCCUGUCCCUCCCAGCACCUCCUGCAUGCCUCUGAACAGGUGUUCAGCAGUGUGCAGGAGGUGCUGUGAGAAAGGGGGAGGAGUUGAGGGAGAGAGGGUAAGGUUUGAUCAGCGGGGCCCGUGGACUCCCUGGAGCACCCUUGUGGACCUCCAGGGGUUACCCCAGUUUGAGAAAUGCUGUGCUAUAACAUCCUUGACUAGUAUCACUCUGCAGCUUUCUGUUGUCAGUAAUCAACCAGUUAAAAAGAUAUGUCUUAGUAUCAGAGAAGUUCUGCAAUAUUGAAGUCAAAGCUCGUUACACAAAUAUGAGAAAUCUUUUAGGAAUACAUCAGUAGGUCUACUCCUGUGCAUAAAUGUUUGCAGAAGUGGCACCUUAAAAAUGUAUGUGGUGCCUAUUCUUCACCCACAGAAGGAUUCGUUUCUGUAAUUAAAUCAUAAGCAUAUAAGUGACUGUUAAUCUCUCUCCUCACCUUGCUCUUUGAUGCAUGGCUGUCAUAACCAUACAGCUAAGGGUAGCCUAGAAUUCCUCCUUACCUGUAAGGGGUUAAGAAGCUCAAAUAACCUGGUUGG